UACGAAGGGGGCUAGCGUUGCUCGGAAUCACUGGGCGUAAAGCGCACGUAGGCGGAUUGUUAAGUCAGGGGUGAAAUCCUGGAGCUCAACUCCAGAACUGCCUUUGAUACUGGCGAUCUUGAGUCCGGGAGAGGUGAGUGGAACUGCGAGUGUAGAGGUGAAAUUCGUAGAUAUUCGCAAGAACACCAGUGGCGAAGGCGGCUCACUGGCCCGAUACUGACGCUGAGGCA
rnacentral:rRNA from 1 species